UACGUAGGUUACAACAUUUAGGUAUUUAAAGUGCAGUUUUUGUUUUCAGUGCACUACUACUACUACAAAAAGACACCGAAUAAUGCAUAAUACACUAAUUGGGGCGCGUCUUUGGUUUCUCUCAGUAGUCAGUAACGCUGAAAGGGAACAUUUUUAGACAUCAACAUCUGUUCAUCGGUCAGUCGUAUAAAUGAUCUGUGUUUUUGUCCAGUGUCUGUCUCCCUCCAGUGGAUCAUCCUCAUCCUCACCACUGGCAUGAACUGACAGGUCACUGCACUCUCUAACCCGCCCGGAAUGUGACUAAUUACGCUAGUGAAAUAUUAACACGAGUAUUGCGACACAGCGUUACACUGUGACUUUCAUAUAUUGUUGCGUGACUCAUUCAUUUUGAUGAUGUUUUUCGUUAUUAUAACCCCGGAUAUAGACGGAGUGAUAUUUCUCUAAAAGAAAGACAGACGAAUAAACAUAAUGUCAAUGAAGCUUUGACUUCUGACAGAGAGAGAGAAAGAAAGAGAGAGAGAGAGAGUGAGAGUGAGUUGGUUUGCUCACAUCAAACUUCGCUCCUUCUGUGGUUUGUGUCUGAAGUGUUGCUGUUGUUGUUGUUUUUUCCUCUCAUCUCGUUCAUCUGCUGUGGAUCAUGAGCGGUGAAUGGCCGCUGGGAGACGAGAGUUUAGUCAUGUCCCCGUCAGAGGAGGAGAAGUGCGAGGAGCUCUGGGAGCGAGUGGAAGGAGUCCGACACAAACUGACCCGCAUUUUAAACCCGGCGAAGCUGACGCCGUACCUGCGGCAGUGUAAGGUGAUCGACGAGCAGGACGAGGAUGAGGUGCUGAACUCCAGUCAGUAUCCGCUGAGAAUCAGCAGAGCCGGACGUUUAUUGGACAUCCUGAGGGGGCGUGGCGAGCGCGGUCUACAGGCCUUCAUGGAGUCACUAGAGUUUUAUCAUCCGGAGCAGUUCACACAGCUGACCGGACGAGAACCGACACAACGCUGCUCCAUUAUGCUGGAUGAGGAGGGUCCUGAGGGCCUGACUCAGUUUCUGCUGCUGGAGGUGCGGAAGCUACGAGAACAGUUGCGCGGCAGUCGUCUGUGCGAGCGACGUCUGUCUCAUCGCUGCCGUGUGGCCGAGGAAGAGCGCAGCCGAGCUGAACGCAAAGCGCAAGAGCUGCGACAGGACCGGAUGCAGCUGGAGAGGUUGAAGCAGGACUGGGAGUCUGGUAGUCGUGAGUUGGGUCUGCUGAAGGAGAGACACCUGGAACAGGCUGUGAAAUACUCGCGAGCGCUAGAGGAACAGCGCAAAGCUGCGGCACGUGAGAGCGAGCUACUCACAGAGGUGGAACAGCUCAGGAAGAGAUUACUAGAGGCGGAGAAAAGAACAGACGAUGGCUCCGCCCCCUCACUGACGCCUCAUACGAGCAGUGAGGCGUGUGACGGCGCUACAGCGGGCCCGAAGGAGACGGCGCCGCUCACUGUGAGAAAGACAGAGCGUAACUCUGGAAAUCAGGCUCUGUUGGACAUCCUCCAGCAGGACCGGCGAGAGGCGGUGGAGCAGCGGCAGGAGUUGUGUGGUACCAUCGCCCGACUGCAGGGGGAGCUGGAGAGCUCAGAGACGCAGAGAGAGAAACUGGUGUCUCAGUGUGAGCAGCUGCAGCUGCGGCUCAGGACUCUACAGCUGGACUGGGAGACGGAGCAGAGCAGGAGUGUGUCCUACUUCAACCAGAUCAUGGAGCUGGAGAGAGAGAGAGACCAGGCGCUGCGCAGUCGUGACAGUCUGCAGCUGGAGUUCACCGACUGCCUGCUGGACAAGAACCGUCUGCGCAAACGCAUCGCGGAGCUGCAGAGCAGCCUGGAGCAGCUGCAGAGAGAGACGGAGAGGAGCCGAGAUCGGAGAGAGCAGAGCACCGCCUGUAUGCACUGUUCUCAUCUGUCAUUGUUCAGUGAGGAUCAGUGUUUCGGGCCGUGCUGUUCUGUUGAUCUGAGUCCCAGUCCACUCACACUCAGAGCUCAUAAGUCGACCUCUCGAGCUCGAGCUCAGUCUGAAGACUACUGCUUCUCAAAUUCAGAGGAGAAUCUGCUUACGCCGGAGUGUAACACGGAGAAGGACAUCAACAGACUCUCGACAUUUCCGUUUCCUCCCUGCAUGAACUCCAUCAACCGCAGAGCAAACGUGGAGUUUGAUCUGAACUCUUGGGGGAGUGACGAGAACGAGACACAAACAGAGGAUUCAGACUUGUGUCUGUUGAGUUCAUGGAGCUCCCUGCCAUCUCAACUCUUUCCUCCUGAUGUAAUCAACAUGAUGCCAACCAUCCCGAUCAAACCUUUAUCAUCCUCAUCGUCAUCCUCAUCCUCACCACGCUUGGCUCCGGCGCUGUCCUCUUCGCCCAAAGGCAUCAGUCUGGCCAAUGACAUCACUAUCGUCGGGGGCAACCGGACGGGCGUGUUCGUGCAGACGGUGAGGGCGGAGUCUCCCGCGGAGCGAUGUGGACUGAAGGAGGGCAGUGAACUGCUGGAGUUGGAUCAGGUGUUGUUGGCCGAGGGUCGUGUUCAUCUCAGUCAGUGUACGGCUGAAGUGGCUCAUUUCUCACUGCAGUGGUGGAGCGAACCAAAUGCACUCAAACACACACACAACCAGGAGGGUUACUCUCGUUUACUCGCUGAACUCUCGUCUCCAUCCUUCACCGGUGCCGACUCCUUCUACAUGCGAGUGAACCUUGACCUCAGUCACCAUGGCGACCCACCGUGUCUGAAGGUCUGCUGUGAUGACGUGCUGCAUGUCACUGACACGCGCUAUAACGGCAAAUAUCAGUGGCGCUGCUUUCGCGUGGACAAACACACGGGGGCGCCGCUGCAGGCCGGAGCCGUUCCCAACUACAACAGGGCUCAGCAGCUGCUGUUGGUGAGGCUUCGUACGAUGGCACUUCAGCAGAAUCAGUGCAGGAAGAAGGUGGCUGUCUGUCUGUCUGUUGAUACCUGCCUGUCUUUCUAUAAGAAAAACCCUGAGCGCAUUCGGCUCAUUAAAGCGGUUGCGCCAAACUAUCGUGUGAUCGGCUCUUCCAGUCGGGUGCUCUACUCACUCAGUAACCGUCAUGAGGAGCAGCUGAUCCCGUUCAGUCUGGUUCAGAUGGUUCGGGUCUCCAGUAAACGGCCGGUGAUUUUCUGUCCAUCUUUGCUGUCAUACGGGAUCAUCGAGCGGCUGCUGCAACCAGCAGAAUCCGGUCUGGACUUCAACAUCUGCCAUCCAGAGCCACUGGAGGGUUGUGUGCAUCAGGAUAAGAAUGUGUUCCUCUUAGACUCUUCAGAUCAACCACUGGGAAUCAAGCUACAAAGUAUUCAAGAGGUCAUUAACCAGGACAAACACUGUCUGCUUCAGCUGGGCUUGAAUCAUGUGGAGAAUCUCCUGAAGCAGAGCAUCUAUCCCAUCAUCAUCUACAUCAAACCCAAAGACAAGAAGGGCCGCAAGUUCAGGAAGCUGUUGUCGGGGCACAGAGAGGAGGACCUGAUGGAGGCCUGUCAGACUGAGGAGCUGCAGCUGGAGACUCUUCCUCUGAUGUUCAGUACGGUGGAGCCGAACACAUGGAGCUGCACAGACGAGCUGCUCGCCGUAAUACGCAGCACCAUCCUGAUCCAGCAGAGGGCCGUGGUGUGGCUGGAGCAGGAGCGCAUCCAGCAGAGCUCAUGAUACAAUUCAAUUCAAACUCAUUUGUAUAGAACUUUUCACAAUACAUAUUGUUUUAAUCAGGAAGUAAUGAUGAUGCAUCCAGACAUGCUUUACACUUACUAUUAUUUUAGGUUUGGUUAUGGGACAGAUGAUUAAUGAACAUGCUGAUUAAACAUGUCUCUAAUACUCCAUAAUGUGAAUCAUUUAAUAUGAAUAUUAAUAACAAACUGAUGCUGGAUUUUUCUGUAUUGUUCUUGUAUUCAUGUUUUAUGUCAUCAUUUUACUAUGAGUUUUGUUGAAGUAGUAAAGUUAUAGUAGUAAACUACUAUAAAAAAAUUAAAUAAAAUUAGACAACACGGGCACAAAUGUUGACAGAUAUUUAGGAGCCGUUUACACGACAGUGUUUUCUAAAAUUGGGAAAAUUGUGCAUUUUGGCUGUUCAUUUACAUGACAAGUGUUUUGAGGGCCUGAAAAUGCAAACUUUUUUGUAAAAGUUUUUGAAAACAAUACCAUUAUCUCUAUCUAAACAAAAACAUGUUGUCUGUAAAUGAAAAAUGCAAAGGAAAAACUAAUCUGUUUUUAGUACAUCAGUCAGGUGAAUGUGCCCUGGAGUUUAAGGCAGACAGGAGCAUGUGAACUAAAUAUCCAUGAGCUGUACUGUAUUGCUUUGUUUUGGACUUGUAUCUGUGAAUUGAAUCUAUAUUUAUUAUGAUCACUGACCUGGAGAACUGCAUGACUGCAUUCACACAGUCAGUGUUUGGGAUUGACAGUUAUUUUCUACUGUAACAUAUGAUAGUAUAUAUAUGUCUGAUAUUGAUGAGAUCUGUGAACCAUCCAAAGUGUUUUUUAUUAUUAUUAUUCAUUUCUUGUAGUUAAAACACAUAUUCCAGGACAUGUUUUUGUGCAGACAAGUUUCUCACUGUCAGUUUGUCAUGUUACUGAGGCCCAUAAGAGUUUUUGUUUCUUUAUAGCGGAUGUGAAGAUAUAAAUAUGUAGUUUGUAUUAACUGUAAAUGCUUGUUUGGAUCUGAUUGCAGAAACAGUUAAUACAAGCCUGAGAUCAAAGUGAAAAUCUUGGAUUCAAAAUCCAAAUCAAACUUUUAAAAAAACUUUUACCUUGCUCAAUGCAGUGGUGACAAUCGACAAAAUAUUCAGAUGAAACUCUGAACAUCACAAGACAAGCUUAAAAAGUCAACAAAAAUAGCAAACGUAAAAGCAAAUAAAAGAAAAUAGACAAUUCAGCUGCAUUAUUUAUUCCUGCCACAGUGCAUGCUGGGAGUGAGUCUUGUACUAUGCUGGUACUCAGCAUGCACUGCAGCAUGAAGUGUUUUGUUGAUUGUCACCAUUGUUGAGAUACAUGUGCUGAUUGUUGAUGCCCGUGUGUGUCAAAUUUGUUUUUAAAAUCCUUCAUAUCUGUCACAUAACUGCUGGAACUCAUGCUGUAGAAUCAGAGAUACUGUAAUAAUUAAAAAAAUAACACAUCACUCAUAUAAUCAGUUACUAGAAUCCAAAUGAGAUCAGUGAAUCAGACCACUACAUAAUGAUUGUCAAUACAUAAUCAUCGUCACCUGAUCAUAUUUUCUCUUGGCUUUCUUUACCAUAACAAAUAUGCCUUUAUAAACACAUAAUUACAGCAGAAAGAAAAAAGCGAAUGUUAAAAAGUAAAAAGUUCAACUAAAGAAAACACUGAUCACCGUAACGGAGACUCACUGCGUACUAUUACUUAAAUCAGUUUCAUACUGACAAAUUGAAUUCAAUUCAAUUCACAUUUAUUUGAAUAGCGCCUUUCACAAUACAUAUAAUUUCAAAGCAGCUUUACAGAGAACGCAUGUCGACAUUACAAUUUAGAGUAAUCAGUUUCAGAGGUGACUGUGUCCAAAUUAUGUAAUUUUCAGUACAUAUGCAAAUCAUGCAGUUAGCUAACAAUGUAUUAAUUUAAGCAAUGUAUUUAAGGUAGAAACAAUGAGCUCAUUGAAGUAAUGAAUACAUGUUAACAAUGAUUAUAUAUAGCAACUUUUGAAAUGGUGCAUGUUGAUCCAGAGUUUGUGUCCUCUGAAGUCCUUGCAGGGGUUGGCGCCGUCUCUUCGCAAGUGUUGAGGCAUCUGAAGUCUUCAUAAGAGGCUGGAUCCAAACUGAAUCUGUUGUACUCUCUAGUCACCUCGGGAUGGGCAUCCCGAGAUAAAACAGAAAAGCAAACGGAGAAGGAUUAGCGUAGUUGCUGUUUAUAACAUUAACCAAAGAUAGUCAUGUGCAUUUGAUUUGAUAUAACUGGAGUACAAGGAUAUGAGAUGCAUUAUGUGAACACUUGGCUAAAGAGAUGCGUCUUUAAUCUAGAUUUAAACUGGGAGAGUGAGUCUGAGCUCUGAACAUUAUCAGGAAGUCUAUUCCCGAGUUUAGGAGCCAAAUGUGAAAAUGCUCUCCCUCCUUUAGUCUGGGACUAGUCUUAAACCUUGUCUGUGAAACUGGGGGUCAAUGUCCUAAUUUAAUUAAGGCCUAAACCAAGCCCGGUUUAUGCCUUAAUUAAAUUAAUCUAAGCCCUUUCUGUGAAACCAUUCCCUAAUGUUCCAAACCUUAAAUAUAGUAUAAAGCGUCUAUUGUAAUAUGUAUGCUCUGCUUUGGUUUAGUUUUUACUCUGGUUGCCUGUUCAUAUUAUAGUAGUCAACAUUUGAAGUGGAUCAAAAAAGUUCAUUAAAGUUGUCCUAAGAACUAAAUUGCCCUAAGAAGAAGGUUUUAAGACAACUUUGAUGAAAGGUUUUGAUCCACUUCAAAUGUUGACUACUGUAGUUCCCUUGGUUACUCAUUCACGCUUUAGUUUGUUUUCUAUGGUUUAACACUGAUCUGUUCACCUGUGUUCAUCCAGUUCCCUUAGUUUUUCCCUUUAUUUAAGCCCUUAGUUUCCUCAAUUCCUUUGUCCGAUAUUAUUUGCAUCAAUGUUAACAUGGUUGCGUUUCUGGUAGGCUAUCUCCUGUGAUCUCCUGAGUUUUAGUUGGUGGAUUAUAAUAAAGAAUGUUUUGUUUCUCAACUCCAUCGUGCGCUUACAGUUUUUCGCAAUCGCUUUGGCACUUUUUUCAAAGCUUGUUAUAUCUGUAAGUUUAGCAUCAGUUGUCAUUAUGCUGAAGGUGGCGUAAUGUUGUCGCAUACUGGAGGCGUGUUUUUUUUUAAACAAUAGUGACAAUGUAAUGAAUAACACACUCAAAUUAAGUUCUUAUAUAACUAUAACACUGUAUAUAGUCUCAGAAGCGUCACCUUACUGUUGGUUGUUCUGUUUCGGUCCAAAUAGGUUAUUAUUAGCACCUAAUAGUCCUAUUCAGUUUUCCGUGGCCACAGCACGGAGUGACAGCAGCACUCUGGUGCUGCAAAAUGGUUUAUGUGGGCUUAAUCUUUAAAAUGACUUCUGUUCUUUCACUGCCACACCCCUCUUCUGAUCACCACUUCGCACUAUUGUGUAUUGUUUAGUUACAUAAUAACUAAAACCAAACGUAUUAAAAAAUCAGUGUGAUAAAAACUACUCAAAAUGGCCGAAAUCAUCUUUGGAAAAAAUGUAUUUGAAAUUGAAUUUGAUUGCUUAGGGCUGUCACUAACGGUCAUUUUGGUAAUCGAGUAAUCAUUCGAUUAUUCUGACGAUUAUCAGAGUAAUCGAACCCCCCGCUGCCCCAAGCUGCAAUAAUAAUCCUUUCCAUUAUAAUUAGAUGACGCGUUAUAUUCAUAUCAGAUACUGUGUGUAAGCAACUAAGUAUUCUGUUCUUCUCCCAGUUCACCGGACACUUAAAUCCAUCCAUGUACUUCGAGAGAAGUGAAUGAAUUCACGUGUUGAACAUCCAACAUAUCUGAUUCUCUGAACCGCGGCGUAAAGAAAGUCCCUUUCUAUGUAUAAAGUCUUUGAUAUAGCUCAUCUACUAACGCAAUCCUUAUAAAGGUGCUUACACAACAAAACACAUUUACUUAUAUGCAGUGUUGGGGGUAACGCAUUACAAGUUCAGAUUACUUUUUUCAAGAAACUAGUAAAGUAAUGCAUUACUUAUUCAAUUUACAGCAAAAUAUCUAAGUUACUACAAAUAAGUAACGCAACUUCACAUUUAUUGACUGGCAGCUCUCCUGUCCCCAUGUUGAGAGAAAUAAAGUGUAGAGGUGUUGUGUGCGCUGUGUGAACAUGAUGGGUAUUGUAGUUCUAGACUAAAUGUGAACACGCAUUUACUCAUCUCACUUGCAAGAAAACAUUCAGUAUUCCUCAAAAUGAAUAAAAACAAUGAAAUGCAAAUUCAGAAUUUUAUGCAAACCUGUAAUAAUUAAUUAUAUUAAAUUACACAAAUAUACUUUAUGUAUUUAAUCUCACUUUAUUAACCAGUGUCUUUGCUGCUGACCUUCAAUGAUCUAAUUCAACCAUACUAACAAGCAAAAAUGACUUUAGAUUUAACAAUAAGAGUUUUAUCAGUUUUAGUUUUAGUUUAGUAUUAGUUUUUCCUUCGCCUGUAUCCUAUUCUUCUUUUAUCCUGAAUAGCAUCACAGCUAAAAAGUUUGUUUGAGCUGCGCCCUCUACUGUACAGGCAUAAAUAUGCAUUUCCUAAUAUAACUUUUUUUGUUGUUAUUAAAAAACAAACAAGCAAAAAUUGUCAGGCUAUUGAUAAAACAUGGCAAUUUUUUUUAAAGGGAUCCCCUGGUGUUAAGACUUGUAUGGCUUAAUAUAACAAAUGAUGUCUCUUACUGAAAUAUGUAGUAGAAAACCCAUGAAAGAUAUGCGUUGUUUAAAAAAUCCAUUAUAUAUUUGGACAAUGGGCGGAGCCAUUUUGUUUGCGUUCUAGGGCAAUGACGUAGAAUGGUUGCACUCGGUAAUCAAAUAGUGAUAUGUGAUAUUUCAGUUUUUCUUUUUUAAUAAAUCUGCAAAAAUGUCAACAAUUCUGUGUUUUUCUGUCAAUAUGGGGUGCUGUGUGUACAUUAAUGAGGAAAAAAAAAUGAACUUAAAUGAUUUUAGCAAAUGGCUGCAAUAUAACAAAGAGUGAAAAAUUUAAGGGGGUCUGAAUACUUUCCGUACCCACUGUAGCACUUUUCUUUACAUAGUUGUCUUUACAGUCCUGGCUGAGAGUUGUGUUGGCACAUAUAAAGUAAGUGACCGUUAUAUUUGUUUCUUGCAGGAGGCUUAAAGAAAAACGCCAUGACCAGCCAAAUCACCCGUAAAGAUGCAGAGAAGGCGGUCUCCAAGUGGAUCAUUGGUGCUAGGGACCGGGGGGGUAAUAGACAGGCCCGACAGGCAACCCCUCAACAAGGACUUCAGGCUUCAGGUUCAUUUGAGGAGGUUGGAGGAGAUCGUAGAUCGUAGCAGCAGAGCACACACUUAGGUGAGGUGAGUGGAGAGUCGUUGGAGUCCGGAGGAGAAGAUGCUGGAGACACAGGAGAUUAGGGAGACGCAGGAGACACAGAGGAUCAGGAGAGACAAUGGAGGAAUAACGUAUAAACAAUCCAGAGAUGAUGACGCUGACGUUCCCCUCCAUCCUUCCCACUACCACCAGGUUGGCCCUGUCCAUCCAUCGGGGGUUGGCUCCACCCCUGCCUUCAUCUUCAUCUUCAGGCAGGAUCAGCCAAAUUUUCAUCGUCAGGAUUUGGACUAAGGAUGGCGCCUAUGCAAAAGAACUUUUCUAUACAAAUAAGCAUAAAUCAAUGUAGCUCACUACCAUCUGUUUGGAAUAAAUACAAUGUAAAUGUUCACCUGCCUUCUGAGUCUUUAUGGUAGAACUCAGUUUCCUUUUCAUUGUCCGGUCUCGUCGUUUUAUGUGGUUGUAUGUUAGUUUGCUCCUGUAUGUUCCUUUGUGGAGUAUAAAAGUAAUAAUUUAUUUGUGCCACAAUGCAUGCUGGGACUCAUGAGUUUUGAUUGCUGUUACCCAUCAUGCACUGCAUCACAAAGCAAGUCACCAUUGUUGUGUUUCAUAUGCUGAUUGUUGAUGUCUGCAAGUGUCUAAACAACACCAUAGUUAAUAACUUCCUGCACACAACAUGUUUCCAUUGUUUUUCUGACUGGACUUUGAAUAUCUUGCAGUGUCACAUGGUUGGUAGUACAAUAUUAAAAUGUGUUGAAAACACAUUCAUGAUAAUGUCAUUAUUAACUGCCAAUAUCAGCUGAGAUUGUGCCAUCUUAAUUUCCUCUGCUGCAAUAAAACUUUUUUA